rnacentral:tRNA from 1 species
GGGAAGAUGGCCGAGUGGUUAUGGCGCGGUAGGCUGUCCUUAGCCUAACAUAGUAUGAUCAAACCACUAAACCCUUUCCAGUGACUCAAGAUAUAAUAUAUCUUACUCGUCUGAGAUGAGCAGUAUUCUCGUAGGGCAACCUGCAGGGGUUCGAAUCCCCUUCUUCUCA